GUUGUGGGGCAGGGAUGCAGCACCGCAGCACUCCACCAUGAGAAUGUUAUGGGGCAGGGAAUGCAGCACUGCAGCGCUGCAGGGGGAGAAUGUUACGGGGCAGGGAUGCAGCGCUGCAGCGCCGCAGCAGGUGGGUGCAACGCUGCAGGGAUGCAGCGCUGCAGCAUUGCAGCACGAGAACAUGGUGUGGUAGCGGGUGCAGCACUGCAGCACUGCAGCAAGAGAACAUUGUGGGGCAGGGAUGCAGCGCUGCAGCAAUGCAGCGGGAGAGCACUGUGGGGCAGGGAUGCAGCACCGCAGCACUACGCCAUGAGAACGUUACGGGGCAGGGAAUGCAGCAGCGCAGCACUGCAGCAGGAAAAUGAUAUGGGGCUGGGAUGCAGCGCUGCAGCAAUGCAGCGGGCGGCUGCAACGGGUUGCCGACCUUUCUCCUGGGCUUGCAGCAGCAGCUGGUACUGCUGGGUGCAGGCGCCGUAGUCGCGCUGCAGCUGCGCGCGGUCGUCGUCGUCGAAGCAGCGCGCCUGGGCGCCGUGCUGCACGAACUGCUGGUAACGCGUCUCCAGGCUGCGCAGCGCCCGCUGCAGCUCCUCCGCCGGCAUCGUGCGCAGCUGCAACGGUGCAUGGGGGGGGGGGGGGGAGGUGCGAUCAGAAGUUGCAGUCGUGCAGCGCUGCAUGGCGCAGCGUUGCAUGGCGGGGCGGGAAGGGGGGGGAUAGGGGGGGAAUGCGAUCAGAAGCCGCAGUCGAGCAGCGCUGCAUGGCGCAGCUGCAACGGUUCGGGGGAGGAU
rnacentral:lncRNA from 1 species